CUGAACAAAAAUAUUCAUUAAGGCAGUCAGCUAGACCUUUAUCCUCUUCUACAUACCUUCCUUCUUUUGUUUUUAAUCUAACUAACCCUUGUUUUACUUUCCAUUUCUCAUUUAUGUAUCUGAAAAAUGUUUUGUCCCCCUUUUUUACUAACUUGGGCUAUUUUCUCUUCUGUGUGUGACUUGGAAGCUUGUAUAACUUACUUAACCUCUCUCUGCCUAAUUUUAUAGAGCUAUCUAUCUUCCUCACAAUCUUUUAUUAUAGCUCUUUCCUCUACUUCUGUUACAUUUUAUGUUCUUAUAAAAGGUUGACAUUCCGUCGCAACAGCAAAAGUCAAAUAAUACAGCCCUCCAACAGACAAGAGUUGGGAGUUCUUCGAACCUUGGCCACUACCACUUCUACAGAACAGUUCUUUGUAAUAGUGUUAUAAUGUGCUAUAUUUUAUCAAAUGUCGUCAUGUUUUUACCAUUAUACUUUCUGAAUGUCCAUCAUAAAUAAAGAAUUUAAAAAAAAAAUACAUGUGAGUUUAAAUAAUACACCAUCACGAUUGGGGGAUCUUAGUCUUUUUAUGCCCACCCCAAGAACUAACCUGCCACACUUUGCAUCCUACACCUAGUACUUGUAUGGUGUGGGCCUCCAUUCCUGAUCACCUAUGAGAAGCUAUAUUAUAGUGUUCUAUUGUGUUUUAUUAUAG